rnacentral:rRNA from 1 species
CACGUAGGGUGCAAGCGUUGUCCGGAAUCAUUGGGCGUAAAGAGCUCGUAGGCGGCUUAGUAAGUCGGGUGUGAAAACCCCAGGCUCAACCUGGGGACGCCACCCGAUACUGCUAUAGCUAGAGUCCAGUAGGGGAGUGUGGAAUUCCCAGUGUAGCGGUGAAAUGCGCAGAUAUUGGGAGGAACACCAGCGGCGAAGGCGGCACUCUGGGCUGGUACUGACGCUGAGGAGCGAAAGCAUGGGUAGCGAACAGG